UAUCGGGGAACUCUGGCUAAGCUCGCCGCGUCCUGCGGCAACGCCUGAGUGACCAACGUUCUGUCGG
rnacentral:sRNA from 1 species